GAGGGUGUAGCUCAGUGGUAGAGUGUGUGCUUAGCAUGCACGAGGUCCUGGGUUCCAUCCCCAGUCCCUCCA
rnacentral:tRNA from 1 species